CUGGGUAAUUAAUAAACCUGUGCAUGA
rnacentral:piRNA from 1 species